GAAAGUGAUUAGUUAUGUGAAGGUUCUUCAGUUGCAAGUAACCCAAAUAUCCCGUUUUUCAUUGGGUCUUGGCUAACCACUCAUCAGAGGUUCUUGAUUUUAACAAGUCAUCUACAUUUCAAGAUCUCUCAAAGCCUGUUGGAGCACUUGAUACAAAACGAUUUGAGGUAUUUGAAUAUGGUUGAGUUGUAGGCUAGGGAUCCAAAUGCAGAUUUAGCACAUUUCUUUGAUGUGAUAGGAGGGAGUGGCACUGGUGCACUCAUAACAGCUUUGUUAGCCACACCAAGCCCUCAAGAUCCUACUCGUGCUACCUUUACUCCUACACAAAUUGUUGACUUCUACAAACAAAAUGGCCCGCAUGUAUUCAAUUCAUCUAGACAUGGAAAAGAUACGCAAUUCGACGGGGAGAUUUUACACAACAUAACUCGUGAACUGUUGAAGGACAAUUCGACAUCAAGAGACAAAAGCUAGUUAUAUUCUCAAACUACAAGGUUGAGAAGUAUCCCUACUUCAAUGCCUUGAUGUCUGAUAUAAGCAUAUCGGCUUCAGCAACACCCACUCUUCUUCCACCCUACUAUUUUCAGAAUGAUGGUGUUGACUUCAAUUUGAUUAGUGGUGCGGACUUGAGUAUGCUUAGUAAUGAUCUAGUAAAUGGGAAUCCGUUGUACCAUGAAUGUUCUCUUUUGAAGCUAUCAGCUAUUGCCGUGAGUUUGUUAGGAAUGACAAUGGUUUUUUCAGAAAGCUUAUCAC